UACGUAGGGUGCGAGCGUUAAUCGGAAUUACUGGGCGUAAAGCGUGCGCAGGCGGCGCCGCAAGUCAGGCGUGAAGUCCCCGAGCUUAACUUGGGAAUGGCGCUUGAAACUACGGUGCUGGAGUAUGGCAGAGGGAGGUGGAAUUCCACGUGUAGCGGUGAAAUGCGUAGAGAUGUGGAGGAACACCGGUGGCGAAGGCGGCAUCCUGGACCAAUAUUGACGCUGAGGAGCGAAAGCCAGGGGAGCAAACGGG
rnacentral:rRNA from 1 species